AACGAACGCUGGCGGCAGGCUUAACACAUGCAAGUCGGACGCCCCGCAAGGGGAGUGGCAGACGGGUGAGUAACGCGUGGGAAUCUACCCAGUUCUACGGAACAACUGGGGGAAACUUCAGCUAAUACCGUAUACGCCCUAAGGGGGAAAGAUUUAUCGGAAUUGGAUGAGCCCGCGUUAGAUUAGCUAGUUGGUGGGGUAACGGCCUACCAAGGCGACGUUCUAUAGCUGGUCUGAGAGGAUGAUCAGCCACACUGGGACUGAGACACGGCCCAGACUCCUACGGGAGGCAGCAGUGGGGAAUAUUGGACAAUGGGCUAAAGCCUGAUCCAGCCAUGCCGCGUGAGUGAUGAAGGCCUUAGGGUUGUAAAGCUCUUUCAGUAGGGACGAUAAUGACGGUACCUACAGAAGAAGCCCCGGCUAACUUCGUGCCAGCCGCCGCGGUAACAC
rnacentral:rRNA from 1 species